rnacentral:rRNA from 1 species
UACGAAGGGGGCUAGCGUUGUUCGGAAUUACUGGGCGUAAAGCGCGUGUAGGCGGACCCUCAAGUCGGACGUGAAAUCCCUGGGCUCAACCCAGGAACUGCAUCCGAAACUGGGGGUCUAGAGUGGUGGAGAGGGAAGCAGAAUUCCUGGUGUAGAGGUGAAAUUCGUAGAUAUCAGGAAGAACACCAAUGGCGAAAGCAGCUUUCUGGGACGGUACUGACGCUGAGACGCGAAAGCGUGGGGAGCGAACAGG